CCGGCCAUCAGAGCUCAGUGGGAGCCCAGCCACCGUCGGGAGCAGACCUGCCAGAGAGGGCUCGGGACUGGGAAGCCGCUGGAGCCCAGGGCAGUUGCCCUGACUGGCCGGAGCUUCCCCACACCCGCUACUGGGAGGAGCCACUGAAGCUUCCCCGCGCCAGCUACGAGGAGGAGCCGUCGGAGACUCCCCCUCUCCCUUGCUGUUACCCCGAGGAACCCCCGGAGCAGACCUGGCCGGACUUCCCGGAGGAGCUGCCGGAUCUACCCCCCAGCCCGGGCCGCGAGGAGCCCAUGCUGUUGGACUUCCCGGGACCUGACGCCACAGACCAGGUCGAGAAGGGGUCAACUUCAUCUCAGCUACCCCCUUCACUAUGCAAAGAUGCUCAGAGGAACGGCCCUGAGAACUGCUGAAUGGGAGGCAGCCAGCCUUUGGGAAGGUCAGAUUCUACACCAGCAUCACAGCAAUCAAAGGUCUGAAGCAGAAUACAUGGACAGUUUCUACCGUGGAGUCAAGGACUUAGGAAAAUUCCAGAGACAGACAUUGUUGCAAGUCAAGAGAGAACCCUGAACAAAGAUAAAAAUAAGAACAGUACGUACAUACAGAGGUCAUCCUAAUUGCAUCAAACGUCUAUGACUACCUUGCAGGGGAAGGAGGCGGGGUGCGGGGGUAGGGAUGAGUGCUUACAGACAUCCGGUGGGUUGUGAAGGGAGCAUUGGUUUUUUAUAUCAAUAAGCUGAGCUAAGUUAUUAUGUAUUAACAGAAACUAUGUCAUUGGUUUUCAUCAGUUUCUGUCUUUUCUGCUGGCUAAAUUUUAACUUCUUCCUGACAUACCCAAGAAAAAUUCUCAGAGAUAUGGCAUACUUUCCUGGAAAUAUCUGAAUGAUCCUAUUUAAUGAAUGCCCACACGCCUGCCCUUCUCUCUACCCUCUUCCUUCCCUCCCCAUCUCUAUUCCCCUCCUCUGAACUUUGCUUCUAUUCUUUUGGAUAACUUAAUACUUUUGCUGUAGCUAGUUAGAUUUUUACAAACAAAUUUUGUCUGUAAAUUGUGUAAUAGAAAUAAUUGACCCAUAUUUUA